rnacentral:rRNA from 1 species
AUUGAACGCUGGCGGCAUGCCAUACACAUGCAAGUCGAACGGCAGCGCGGGAGCUUGCUCCUGGCGGCGAGUGGCGAACGGGUGAGUAAUACAUCGGAACGUGUCCGGUUGUGGGGGACAACCAGCCGAAAGGUUGGCUAAUACCGCAUAAGACCUGAGGGUGAAAGCCGGGGACCGCAAGGCCUGGCGCAGACGGAGCGGCCGAUGAUUGAUUAGCUUGUUGGCGGGGUAAAGGCCCACCAAGGCGACGAUCAAUAGCUGGUCUGAGAGGACGACCAGCCACACUGGAACUGAGACACGGUCCAGACUCCUACGGGAGGCAGCAGUGGGGAAUUUUGGACAAUGGGGGCAACCCUGAUCCAGCCAUGCCGCGUGCGGGAAGAAGGCCUUCGGGUUGUAAACCGCUUUUGUCAGGGACGAAAAGGGACGGGUUAAGAGCUAGUUCCGCUGACGGUACCUGAAGAAUAAGCACCGGCUAACUACGUGCCAGCAGCCGCGGUAA